UACGGGGGGCAAGCGUUGUUCGGAAUUACUGGGCGUAAAGGGCUCGUAGGCGGCCAACUAAGUCGGAUGUGAAAUCCCAGGCUUAACCUGGGAACUGCAUCCGAUACUGGAUGGCUUGAAUCCGGGAGAGGAUGCAGAAUUCCAGGUGUAGCGGUGAAUGCGUAGAUAUCAUGAGGAAUACCAGAGGCGAAGGCGGCUACCUGGACAAUUGCUGACGCUCAGGCAACGAAAGCGUGGGGAGCAAAAGG
rnacentral:rRNA from 1 species